rnacentral:rRNA from 1 species
GCACCCGCACAAGCGGUGGAGCAUGCUGUUUAAUUCGAAGAUACGCGAAGAACCUUACCUGGGCUUGACAUCUCUCUGAAACCUUUUGGAAACAAGAGGCCUCCUUUCGGGGACAGAGAUGACAGGUGGUGCAUGGUUGUCGUCAGCUCGUGUCGUGAGAUGUUCGGUUAAGUCCGAUAACGAGCGCAACCCUUGUCCUUAAUUGCUAACAUUAAGUUGAGAACCUUAAGGAGACUGCCGGUGAUAAACCGGAGGAAGAUGGGGAUGACGUCAAAUCAUCAUGCCCCUUACGUCCAGGGCUACAGGCGUGCUAUAAUGGCAGAUAUAAAAAGACGCAAAACCGUGAGGUAGAGCAAAUCUCAAAAGUCUGUCUCAGUUCGGAUUGAAGUCUGCAACUCGACUUCAUGAAGCUAGAAUCGCUAGUAAUCCCAGAUCAGAAUGCUGGGGUGAAUACGUUCCCGGGUGUU